rnacentral:rRNA from 1 species
CCUACGGGGGGCAGCAGUAGGGAAUCUUUCACAAUGGGCGAAAGCCUGAUGGAGCAACGCCGCGUGCAGGAUGAAGGCCUUCGGGUUGUAAACUGCUUUUAUAAGCGAGAAAUAUGAUGGUAACUUAUGAAUAAGGAUCGGCUAACUACGUGCCAGCAGCCACGGUCAUACGUAGGAUCCGAGCAUUAUCCGGAGUGACUGGGUGUAAAGAGUUGCGUAGGUGGCAUAAUAAGUAGCUAGUGAAAUCUGGUGGCUCAACCAUUCAGACUAUUAGCUAAACUGUUAAGCUCGAGACCGUUAGGGGUAACUGGAAUUUCUAGUGUAGGAGUGAAAUCCGUAGAUAUUAGAAGGAACACCAAUAGCGUAGGCAGGUUGCUGGGACGGUUCUGACACUAAGGCACGAAAGCGUAGGGAGCAAACGGGAUUAGAUACCCCUGUAGUC